UUUUUUUUUUCCAGAAAAACCAGAAAGCACAUAUGUCAAACUUCCUCGCAACAAAAGGAUUAGGUCAAAGGGCCAGGCUUGUGACCUGAAUUCUAAUCUUGCUCCUCACAAAGAAAAUUUGAAAACCAAGCCUAUCUGGGGGAACACUGGUGGGAGUUAAUAGUAGCCAAGACUUGUAACCAUUAGUAGAGAGCUACCUAAUACUAUAAACUACAAAUUUCACUAUUAAGAAACUUCUCCCAAAUCUUUACUUUAAAAAUUCUGUUUUUAAUGAUACAAUUUAACAACAGCACCAAACAUGUUUAACUGUUAAAUAUUUAUCAUCAUCUGGAAUAAAGCAAUCUAGAAGUCUACCUUUUAUAGUAUUCAACAAGUUAUCAGACCCUUUUGCUAUACUUUUUAUAGGUUUAAGGCCCACACUUACUUCCUACCUUACUAUCAGUGAAAAGUUUUAUAAGUGACUUUUAUUAGAAAGUUUUCAACAUUUUCCCACUCAAUCCCCCGUUAACAAGCAAAACUUAAAAUACUGAACUUUCUCAGAUCAAAUAUCUGAGGAUAAACUCCUAUUUUUAUAAUUUCAAACACCCACGAGUGCACAAGGUGGUUAAAUUUCAAGACCACCAACAUUCCUGUAGUGUCGAAAGUACCUAAACUUCUAGAAUACCCAUUGCAAUAUUAAAAUAUUUUGUGCAUGAGAUCAGAACUGGAGUCCCAGUCAACUGUGCAUAAUGGCCAAUUCUAGUCUCCAAAAUAAAACGCGCUGGUGUGUGUGGGGAGGGGGGGGAAAAAGGUUGGACAAAAGUGGGGAGGGAAGAGUCUCGCGACGGAAAAACAGACGUAAGUGCGGAGAGGGACUUUCAAAAUGCCCCAGUGCCACUAACCAUAUCCCGGUUGAAGAAAAAAAUAAAUAAGCCAGAGCUCUUAGAUCGGGGAGGGCCACGGGGAGAUGGAGAAUUUAAAGGAUGGAGAAUAAGUUAUUUCGCUUUCCCUGUAACAGCGCCCCCGUCAAGCCCCAGGUAGGUACCCUGGCGGGGUGAGGAUCGGAGGAGUCCUUGGGGCAGCCCCCCUCCCCGCACGCGCUGAAACGCGGGAGACUAGAAAUCUGCAGGCGUGGAGGGGGCCCUCCCAACCACAGCUUUUUCCCUUUUCCCUUGAGGGACAUGAGUAAUUAACCACCCCCCCUCCUCCAAGCUCCUAAUCCCCGCCAAAAAAAAAGGGGCAGAAUUCUGGGCCCACCGUGGGCCUCGUACUUGUGUUCCCGCCCUGCGCCCAGGCCCGGGGAAAGCCCCGGGGCGGAGAGGGCCAGGGUGCGGGGCGGGGGGUUGGUGGAGAGAGGAGGCCGAGCCACACGUGUGCGCCGCAGGGCUGGCCGGCCUCAAACCCACUUCCCGUCGCCGCCCCGGCGGCCUCGGCUCCCGCCGCCUCGCCCGGGGCCUCCCCGACGCUCCACGUGGGGCGCCAGGGCCGCCCCCCCUGCCCCCCCGCCGCCCCGAGGGCCCGCGAAGGGACCUCCUCACACAGAGCGCCGGGGCUCCCUUACCUGGUGCUGCGGUCGCCCCUGCUGCCGUGUAGCUGCCGCAGUUGAAGCCGCCGGCGCCGCCCGCCUACCCCUCCCCUUUGCGCACAGCGCCCGCCCCGCCGCCGCCGCCGUCGUCGUCGUCGCCGUCGUCCCUGCAGUCGCCGCUGUUGCGUCUAUUGCCGCUGCUAAGGCCGCCGCUGCGGUCGCGAGCCAGAACACCGUCACUCGUCAGCGCCCGGCGAGCCUGCGUCAUCACGCUGCGACCGGCUGAUAGGUCAACACAGACGUGGAAUUAGGAACCAAAGAAAUCAGACCUCACAGGUUGAAACCAACCAUCAGGUUUUGCUUAAGCCAGUCUCACGAAUGGACUUUCUUCAACUUCGUAAGUGUCCGUUGUACUGGGGCUUUAUUGUUUACAGAAAUGAAGAUCUGUGCUUCCUGAGGGGUGGAGAGUAGCCCUGGCUGGGGACAGCUGCUGUCUCUAGUGGGAGUUGGGAGGAAGAAGGCCACUUGCUGCUCCUUGAUGAGCUCUGCACCUGCUCUUGGCCUGGAUGGACUUAACCCCAGGGAGACUUCAUCAGCAAGUCUUGCCAACAAGUGUACUCUUUCUCUCAAUAUUUGCAUUGUUUUAUGUAUUUACACUUUAAAUAUAAACUUCGCUGUGAUGGCUUGUCAGAUUUUGAAGCAUUUUCCCCAUUCUGUUAUUUAUUCAUAUGUUUUUUAAUUGUGUUUCAUUAUAGGAAACUGAGAUUCAUACUGGUUAGGCUAUAUACUUGAGAUCACAACUUUGUGACUUAGUAACAGGAUGGAUAUCUCCUGACUCAAAUUCCAGUGAGUUUUAUACUUUUGGGGAUAUGUUCUUACUUUGUUUUCAUUGACUAAUUAAAAAAAAAUUCAUCUCUUAUUUCUCAUCAGUGCAACAAAGGAUUAACAGAACUGGUAAGUUUAACGCUUGUGCAGUCCAUAGGGUUGCAAAGAGUCAGACAUGACUGGGCGACUAAAAGAACAAAUAUUGUGAUUAUGGAUUUAUUUAGAUUUACUCUUACCAUCUUGUUUUGUUAAUUAUCUACCCUGUUUUUUUCUAUGUUGCCUUUCCCUUCCUUUCUUGCUUAUUAAUGGACUAAUGGCUUUGUUGUCUCUGCCUGUCCUCCCAUCUGUUGGUUGGAAAGCCGUAACAUUUCCUUCCUUCCAUUUUAACACAGAUCAUAUGAAAUCGAUCAGUCUUUCCUCUUCCAGGACAUAGAAGCAUUAUAGAAUGCUUUCACUCUAGUCACUCCUCUCAACUGUUGACGAUAUCUUUUUCCCACAUCAUUGUCACACUUCCACACAAGUUUUGUUCUGUUGAUGCUUUUUCCUUUGUGUUGUUUUCUAGCCAUACCACGCAGCUUGUGGGAUCCUUGUUUCCUGACCAGGGAUCACACCUGGGCCUCCUACAGGGGAAGCAGGAGUCCUAACCACUGGACGACCAGGGAAUUCCUUGUUGAUGCUUCUUUAGAUUUAACCAUAUAUCAGCCAGUUUCUUUGCUCAUCAAUUUCUUGGCUUUUAUUCCUUCCUUCCAGUUUAAUUUUCUUCUUGAAGUACUUCCUCUAAUCGACUUUCAGUGGGAUUGUCUAUAGGUGGUAAAUUCUGUGUCUUGGCCUAAAAUGUUAUCUUUUGCCCUUGUUUUUGAAAUUAUUAACAAACCAGAAACUGAAGCACAGAUUGACUUUCUCUCAGAAUUCUGAAGCUAUUCCACUGCUCUCUUCAUGAAAGAGCAUGAGUUUUGGAGAUCCAGUUAAGCACGGUUCAUAUAGUUAAACACAGCACAGGGGCCCCGGAGCAAGGGUAUGACCAGUGAGCAUAGACCUGAAAAUGUGCUUGGGGUCAGGUCAGGCAGGAUUAACCUAAAUCCACAGAAAGAUCUGGGCUUUUUUUUUUUUUUUUUUUUUGGCGGGAGGUGGCGGUUGCCCCCUACUGAGAAUAUAACUCACCUCUUGAAGUAUUAGUCGUUCAGUCGUGUCUGACUCUUUGCAACCCCAUGGACUGUAGCCCACCAGGCUCCUCUGCCCA